ACAGACAAACAUGUUCCUAAACUACACACACACCACCACCACCACCAUCACCACCAUCACCAUCACCACCACCAUCACCACCACCACCACCACCAUCACCACCACCACCAUCACCACCACCAUCACCACCACCACCAUCACCAUCACCACCAUCACCACCACCACCACCAUCACCACCACCAUCACAUCACCACCAUCACCACCACCACCAUCACCACCAUCACCACCACCACCACCACCACCACCAUCACCAUCACCACAUCACCAUCACCAUCACCAUCAUCACCAUCACCAUCACCACCACCAUCACCACCACCAUCACCACCACCACCAUCACCACCAUCACCACCAUCACCAUCACCACCAUCACCACCAUCACCAUCACCACCAUCACCACCACCACCAUCACCAUCACCACCACCAUCACCAUCACCAUCACCACCAUCACCACCAUCACCAUCACCACCAUCACCACCAUCACCAUCACCACCAUCACCAUCACCACCAUCACCAUCACCCACCAUCACCAUCACCACCACCAUCACCACCAUCACCAUCACCACCACCACCAUCACCACCAUCACCACCAUCACCACACCAUCACCACCAUCACCAUCACCACCAUCACCACCAUCACCACCACCAUCAUCACCAUCACCAUCACCACCAUCACCACCAUCACCACCAUCACCAUCAUCACCAUCAUCACCAUCACCAUCACCACCAUCACCACCAUCACCAUCAUCACCACCAUCACCAUCACCACCACCACCAUCACCACCAUCACCACCAUCACCACCACCAUCACCACCAUCACCACCAUCACCACCAUCACCACCACCAUCACCAUCAUCACCACCAUCACCACCAUCACCACCACCAUCACCACCAUCACCACCACCAUCACCACCAUCACCACCACCAUCACCAUCACCAUCACCAUCAUCACCACCAUCACCACCACCACCAUCACACACCAUCACCAUCAUCACCACCAUCACCAUCAUCACCACCAUCACCAUCACCAUCACCACCAUCACCAUCACCAUCACCACCAUCACCCACCAUCACCACCAUCACCAUCACCAUCAUCACCAUCACCACCAUCACCACCAUCACCACCAUCAUCACCAUCACCACCAUCACCAUCAUCACCACCAUCACCAUCACCAUCAUCACCAUCACCAUCACCACCAUCAUCACCACCAUCACCAUCACCAUCACCAUCAUCACCAUCACCAUCAUCACCACCAUCACCAUCACCAUCACACCAUCAUCACCAUCACCAUCACCACCAUCAUCACCACCAUCACCAACCACCAUCACCACCAUCACCAUCAUCACCACCAUCACCAUCACCACCAUCAUCACCAUCACCAUCACCAUCACCAUCAUCACCACCAUCACCAUCACCACCAUCACCACCAUCCACCAUCACCACCAUCACCACCAUCACCAUCAUCACCACCAUCACCAUCACCACCAUCAUCACCAUCACCAUCACCACCAUCAUCACCACCAUCACCACACCAUCACCACCAUCACCAUCAUCACCACCAUCACCCAUCACCACCAUCACCACCAUCACCAUCAUCACCACCAUCACCAUCAUCACCACCAUCACACAUCACCAUCAUCACCAUCAUCACCAUCAUCACCACCAUCACCACCAUCACCAUCAUCACCACCAUCACCACCAUCAUCACCAUCACCAACACCAUCACCACCAUCACCAUCAUCACCACCAUCACCAUCACCACCAUCAUCACCAUCACCAUCACCACCAUCAUCACCACCAUCACCAACACCAUCACCACCAUCACCAUCAUCACCACCAUCACCAUCAUCACCACCAUCACCAUCACCAUCAUCACAUCAUCACCCAUCACCACCAUCAUCCAUCACCAUCACCACCAUCACCAUCAUCACCAUCACCAUCACCACCAUCACCAUCACCACCAUCACACACCAUCACCACCACCAUCACCAUCAUCACCAUCAUCACCACCAUCACCACCAUCACCAUCAUCACCAUCACCACCAUCAUCACCAUCACCACCAUCACCACCAUCACCAUCAUCACCACCAUCACCAUCACCACCAUCAUCACCAUCACCAUCACCACCAUCAUCACCACCAUCACCAACACCAUCACCACCAUCACCAUCACCACCAUCACCAUCAUCACCACCAUCACCACCAUCACCAUCACAUCACCAUCAUCACCACCAUCACCACCAUCACCACCCAUCACCACCAUCACCAUCACCACCAUCACCACCAUCACCACCACCAUCACCACCAUCACCACCAUCACCACCAUCACCAUCACCACCACAUCACCAUCAUCACCAUCACCAUCACCACCAUCACCAUCAUCACCAUCACCACCAUCACCACCAUCACCAUCAUCACCACCAUCACCACCAUCAUCACCAUCACCAACACCAUCACCACCAUCACCAUCAUCACCACCAUCACCAUCACCACCAUCAUCACCAUCACCAUCACCACCAUCAUCACCACCAUCACCAACACCAUCACCACCAUCACCACCAUCACCACCAUCACCAUCAUCACCACCAUCACCAUCACCACCACCGUCACCAUCAUCACCAUCAUCACCACCAUCACCACCAUCACCACCACCAUCACCACCACCAUCACCACCAUCACCACCACCAUCACCAUCACCACCACCAUCACCAUCAUCACCACCAUCACCACCAUCGCCACCAUCGCCACCACCAUUUAUAUGAACUAAAAGACUGG
rnacentral:lncRNA from 1 species